CGCCAACCGCCGCGGUAACACCGGCGGCCCGAGUGGUGAUCGUGAUUAUUGGGUCUAAAGGGUCCGUAGCCGGUUUGGUCAGUCCUCCGGGAAAUCUGAUAGCUCAACUAUUAGGCUUUCGGGGGAUACUGCCAGACUUGGAACCGGGAGAGGUAAGAGGUACUACAGGGGUAGGAGUGAAAUCUUGUAAUCCCUGUGGGACCACCUGUGGCGAAGGCGUCUUACCAGAACGGGUUCGACGGUGAGGGACGAAAGCUGGGGGCACGAACCGGAUUAGAUACCCGGGUAGUCCCAGCCGUAAACGAUGCUCGCUAGGUGUCAGGCAUGGCGCGACCGUGUCUGGUGCCGCAGGGAAGCCGUGAAGCGAGCCACCUGGGAAGUACGGCCGCAAGGCUGAAACUUAAAGGAAUUGGCGGGGGAGCACAACAACGGGUGGAAGCCUGCGGUUUAAUUGGACUCAACGCCGGACAACUCACCGGGGGCGACAGCAAUAUGUAGGCCAAGCUGAAGACUUUGCCUGAAUCGCUGAGAAGAGGUGCAUGG
rnacentral:rRNA from 1 species